CCUACGGGAGUCAGCAGUGAGGAAUAUUGGUCACUGGACGAGAGUCUGAACCAGCCAAGUAGCGUGAAGGAUGACUGCCCUAUGGGUUGUACACUUCUUUUAUAAAGGAAUAAACCGAGGCACGUGUGCCUUUUUGCAUGUACUUUAUGAAUAAGGAUCGGCUAACUCCGUGCCAGCAGCCGCGGUAAUACGGAGGAUCCGAGCGUUAUCCGGAUUUAUUGGGUUAAAAGGGAGCGUAGAUGGGUUGUUAAGUCAGUUGUAAAAGUUUGCGGAUCAAUCGUAAAAUUGCAAUUGAUACGGGCAGUGUUGAGUAACGUUGAGGUAGGCGGAAUACGUGGUGGAG
rnacentral:rRNA from 1 species